UCUCUGAUAGUAUAUCGGUUAGUACACGCGCCUGUCAUGCGUAAUUGAGGCAAGGUGCGCGCGAAAGCUGGGUUCGACUCCCAGUCAGAGAG